GGGCUUGAGAGUGAUCUANCUGUGACAUCUGUCACCCCAUUAAUUUCCAGAAUGGAUUCAGAAUACCAGUUGACUGGGAGAGUGUCAUGUUUCUCACCCACUACUCCAUAUGUACACAAGCAGCUGCGCUCUCCUGUUAGAACCUCCAAAUAAGCUCUCAAGGAAGAUUUUAUAAUAUAUUUUGUCAUCAUUAACAGUAAUAAAUUGCUGCUUUCACAUCCUAAGUUAAUAU
rnacentral:snRNA from 1 species